AUUUAACCAGAUGAUAGAAGGACCUAAGAUGAGAGAGCUACACUCAUGAGGUAUUAUGUCACUGAUUCUCAACAGCAUCUCUGUACCAGGCACAUUGACCUUAUAGAACAAAUGAGUGACCUGAGAUAUUAGAGCUUGUAAGUGGUGAAGGAGGGGAGCUACUUGAGCAAAAGACCCAGUGGAUUUGAGCCAAGUUCCAGAAGA